UACAGAGACUGCAAGCGUUAUUCGGAUUCACUGGGCGUAAAGGGUGCGCAGGCGGCCGGGUGUGUCAGAUGUGAAAUCCCGAGGCUCAACCUCGGAACUGCGUCUGAAACUACUCGGCUAGAGUACUGGAGAGGGUAACGGAAUUCACGGUGUGGCAGUGAAAUGCGUAGAUAUCGUGAGGAACACCAGAGGCGAAGGCGGUUACCUGGACAGUUACUGACGCUCAGGCACGAAAGCAUGGGGAGCAAAAGGG
rnacentral:rRNA from 1 species